rnacentral:rRNA from 1 species
UGCAGUCGAGCGGCAGCGGGAAAGUAGCUUGCUACUUUUGCCGGCGAGCGGCGGACGGGUGAGUAAUGCCUGGGGAUCUGCCCAGUCGAGGGGGAUAACAGUUGGAAACGACUGCUAAUACCGCAUACGCCCUACGGGGGAAAGGAGGGGACCUUCGGGCCUUUCGCGAUUGGAUGAACCCAGGUGGGAUUAGCUAGUUGGUGGGGUAAUGGCUCACCAAGGCGACGAUCCCUAGCUGGUCUGAGAGGAUGAUCAGCCACACUGGAACUGAGACACGGUCCAGACUCCUACGGGAGGCAGCAGUGGGGAAUAUUGCACAAUGGGGGAAACCCUGAUGCAGCCAUGCCGCGUGUGUGAAGAAGGCCUUCGGGUUGUAAAGCACUUUCAGCGAGGAGGAAAGGUUGGCGCCUAAUACGUGUCAACUGUGACGUUACUCGCAGAAGAAGCACCGGCUAACUCCGUGCCAGCAGCCGCGGUAAUAC